rnacentral:rRNA from 1 species
UACGGAGGAUGCGAGCGUUAUCCGGAUUUAUUGGGUUUAAAGGGUGCGCAGGCGGCGAGUUAAGUCAGCGGUAAAAUUUCGGGGCUCAACCCCGACAAGCCGUUGAAACUGGCUUGCUAGAGUGGGCGAGAAGUACGCGGAAUGCGCGGUGUAGCGGUGAAAUGCUUAGAUAUCGCGCAGAACCCCGAUUGCGAAGGCAGCGUACCGGCUCCACACUGACGCUGAGGCACGAAAGCGUGGGUAUCGAACAGG